rnacentral:rRNA from 1 species
GACGGGGGAUGCAAGUGUUAUCCGGAAUCACUGGGCGUAAAGCGUCUGCAGGUGGUUUCCUAAGUCCACUGUUAAACCUUGAGGCUCAACCUCAAAUCUGCAUUGGAAACUAGGAGACUUGAGUAUAGUAGGGGUAGAGGGAAUUUCCAGUGGAGCGGUGAAAUGCGUAGAUAUUGGAAAGAACACCGAUGGCGAAGGCACUCUACUGGGCUAUUACUGACACUCAGAGACGAAAGCUAGGGGGACGCAAAUGGG